rnacentral:rRNA from 1 species
UGGGGAAUUUUGGACAAUGGGCGCAAGCCUGAUCCAGCCAAUGCCGCGUGAGUGAAGAAGGCCUUCGGGUUGUAAAGCUCUUUUGUCAGGGAAGAAACGGUGAGGGCUAAUAUCCUUUGCUAAUGACGGUACCUGAAGAAUAAGCACCGGCUAACUACGUG